rnacentral:rRNA from 1 species
GUUGUAUGGUUAAGUGAYUAAGCGUAGACGGUGGAUGCCUUGGCAGUCAGAGGCGAUGAAGGACGURCUAACCUGCGAAAAGCGAUGGUGAGCUGGUAAGAAGCAUUUGAGCCAUCGAUGUCCGAAUGGGGAAACCCACCUGCAUAAGCAGGUAUCUUAGYGUGAAUACAUAGCGCUAAGAGGCGAACUCGGGGAACUGAAACAUCUAASUACCCGAAGGAAAAGAAAUCAAUUGAGAUUCCGGCAGUAGCGGCGAGCGAACCCGGAGCAGCCCUUAAGCGGCUUAGGCGUUAGGUGAACAGGUUGGAAAACCUGGCAAUAAAGGGUGAUAGCCCCGUAACCGACGGCGCCUUAGRCGUGAAAWCGAGUAGGACGGGACACGUGAUAUCUUGUCUGAACAUGGGGGGANUACCCGAAGGAAAAGAAAUCAAUUGAGAUUCCGGCAGUAGCGGCGAGCGAACCCGGAGCAGCCCUUAAGCGGCUUAGGCGUUAGGUGAACAGGUUGGAAAACCUGGCAAUAAAGGGUGAUAGCCCCGUAACCGACGGCGCCUUAGRCGUGAAAWCGAGUAGGACGGGACACGUGAUAUCUUGUCUGAACAUGGGGGGACCAUCCUCCAAGGCUAAAUACUCCUGACUGACCGAUAGUGAACCAGUACCGUGAGGGAAAGGCGAAAAGAACCCCUGUGAGGGGAGUGAAAUAGAACCUGAAACCGUCUACGUACAAGCAGUGGGAGCCUCUUCGUGGGGUGACCGCGUACCUUUUGUAUAAUGGGUCAGCGACUUAAUGUUAGUAGCAAGGUUAACCGCAUAGGGGAGCCGUAGGGAAACCGAGUCUUAACUGGGCGAGUAGUUGCUAGCAUUAGACCCGAAACCGAGUGAUCUAGCCAUGGGCAGGUUGAAGGUUGAGUAACAUCAACUGGAGGACCGAACUCACUAACGUUGAAAAGUUAGGAGAUGACCUGUGGCUAGGGGUGAAAGGCCAAUCAAACUCGGAGAUAGCUGGUUCUCCCCGAAAGCUAUUUAGGUAGCGCCUCGGACGAAUACUACUGGGGGUAGAGCACUGUUAAGGCUAGGGGGUCAUCCCGACUUACCAACCCUUUGCAAACUCCGAAUACCAGUAAGUACUAUCCGGGAGACACACGGCGGGUGCUAACGUCCGUCGUGGAGAGGGAAACAACCCAGACCGCCAGCUAAGGUCCCCAAGUUAUCGCUAAGUGGGAAACGAUGUGGGAAGGCUCAGACAGCCAGGAUGUUGGCUUAGAAGCAGCCAUCAUUUAAAGAAAGCGUAAUAGCUCACUGGUCGAGUCGRCCUGCGCGGAAGAUGUAACGGGGCUAAGCGAUACACCGAAGCUGCGGCAAUGUCCUUAUGGAUAUUGGGUAGGGGAGCGUUGUGUAAGCUGUUGAAGGUGUGCUGAGAGGCAUGCUGGAGGUAUCACAAGUGCGAAUGCUGACAUGAGUAACGAUAAAGGGGGUGAAAAACCUCCUCGCCGGAAGACCAAGGGUUCCUGUCCAACGUUAAUCGGGGCAGGGUAAGUCGGCCCCUAAGGCGAGGCCGAAAGGCGUAGUCGAUGGGAAACGGGUUAAUAUUCCCGUACUGCUGCUUACUGCGAUGGGGGGACGGAGAAGGCUAGGUGGGCCUGGCGAUGGUUGUCCAGGUUCAAGUGCGUAGGCUGAUUUMUUAGGCAAAUCCGGGAAAUCAAGGCCGAGACACGAUGUCGAGCCACCAAGGUGGUGAAGUCAUUGAUGCCAUGCUUCCGGGAAAAGCCUCUAAGCUUCAGGUAAGUAGCAACCGUACUCCAAACCGACACAGGUGGUCGGGUAGAGAAUACCAAGGCGCUUGAGAGAACUCGGGUGAAGGAACUAGGCAAAAUGGUACCGUAACUUCGGGAGAAGGUACGCUGCCCGCGGUGAAGUCCCUUGCGGAUGGAGCUAUGGGCAGUCGCAGAUACCAGGUGGCUGCAACUGUUUAUUAAAAACACAGCACUGUGCAAAAUCGAAAGAUGACGUAUACGGUGUGACGCCUGCCCGGUGCCGGAAGGUUAAUUGAUGUGGUUAUCGCAAGAGAAGCCAUUGAUUGAAGCCCCGGUAAACGGCGGCCGUAACUAUAACGGUCCUAAGGUAGCGAAAUUCCUUGUCGGGUAAGUUCCGACCUGCACGAAUGGCGUAAUGAUGGCCACGCUGUCUCCACCCGAGACUCAGUGAAAUUGAAAUCGCAGUGAAGAUGCUGUGUACCCGCGGCUAGACGGAAAGACCCCGUGAACCUUUACUACAGCUUGGCACUGAACAUUGAGCCUACAUGUGUAGGAUAGGUGGGAGGCUUUGAAGCGGCGACGCCAGUUGCUGUGGAGCCAUCCUUGAAAUACCACCCUUGUAUGUUUGAUGUUCUAACUUAGCCCCGUUAUCCGGGGUGAGGACAGUGCCUGGUGGGUAGUUUGACUGGGGCGGUCUCCUCCCAAAGCGUAACGGAGGAGCACGAAGGUGGGCUAAUCACGGUCGGACAUCGUGAGGUUAGUGCAAUGGCAUAAGCCCGCUUAACUGCGAGAGUGACGGCUCGAGCAGGUACGAAAGUAGGUCAUAGUGAUCCGGUGGUUCUGAAUGGAAGGGCCAUCGCUCAACGGAUAAAAGGUACUCCGGGGAUAACAGGCUGAUACCGCCCAAGAGUUCAUAUCGACGGCGGUGUUUGGCACCUCGAUGUCGGCUCAUCACAUCCUGGGGCUGAAGUCGGUCCCAAGGGUAUGGCUGUUCGCCAUUUAAAGUGGUACGCGAGCUGGGUUUAGAACGUCGUGAGACAGUUCGGUCCCUAUCUGCCGUGGGCGUUGGAUGAUUGAGGGGAGCUGCUCCUAGUACGAGAGGACCGGAGUGGACGAACCGCUGGUGUUCGGGUUGUGUCGCCAGACGCAUUGCCCGGUAGCUAAGUUCGGCACAGAUAAGCGCUGAAAGCAUCUAAGCGCGAAGCUGGCCCCGAGAUGAGUCAUCCCUAGAGCUUCGAGCUCUCUAAAGGGUUGUUCUAGACUAGAACGUUGAUAGGCAGGGUGUGUAAGCGCUGUGAGGCGUUGAGCUAACCUGUACUAAUUGCCCGUGAGGCUUAACCAUACAACACCCAAG